rnacentral:tRNA from 1 species
GUCGGGGUGGCGGAACAGGCAGACGCGCACGUUUGAGGGGCGUGUGGUAUACACCAUGUGGGUUCGAUUCCCAUCCCCGACACCA